rnacentral:rRNA from 1 species
AACGAACGCUGGCGGCAGGCUUAACACAUGCAAGUCGAACGGGUGUAGCAAUACAUCAGUGGCAGACGGGUGAGUAACACGUGGGAACCUUCCUAGGGGUACGGAACAACUCAGGGAAACUUGAGCUAAUACCGUAUACGCCCCCGGACUUGAGUCCGGGGGAAAGGAUUCAUCGCCCCUACGACGGGCCCGCGUCGGAUUAGGUAGUUGGUGGGGUAACGGCCUACCAAGCCUGCGAUCCGUAGCUGAUCUGAGAGGAUGAUCAGCCACACUGGGACUGAGACACGGCCCA